UCAAUUUCACUUGGAUGCCUAUGUUUAAACUGGGAAUGAAAUAUAUAGCUAGAAGGGAAAUUGCUGAAUCAGAUGAUAUAAUUUGAAUAUAAUAUGUGUGCUUGAACACCUCAGCAUCUGGCUCUGUUUUGAGGGGGUUAUGGAAACUCUGGGAUGUGGAACCUAGCUAGGUUGGAUGGGCCUUAAAAGUGAUAUGGAUCAAGCUGUCUGCUUCCAGACCUACCAAGAAGUGAACAAGCCAUGUAUAAGCCUCCACCUCCACAAAGUACUGUGACUAGAAAUCUUUCCAAUCUUAUUUUCUUCAGGUAUUUUCCUGUCACAACAAUGAGAAUAAUAAAUGAAGGUGAUAAUAAUCCUAUUCAGCUCUUUUAAAUGGGAAGGUAGAACAGUAUCUUGCUAUAAGUUUUUUUAUGGCUUAGCCUCCCCAUGCUGAUUUUACAGGAGUAAAUGACAAUGUCUGUCCUGUUUACUGUCUGCAGACAGGUUUAUUACUUCCUGAAACAUCUAACACUAGUAUUUUAAUGGAGAUCAGUGACUGCUUCUCCCUACAAGUUUGUUACACGCAGGUAGAAGUUCUUCCCUAAAAGUGAUUUUCAAUCUGUAGAGUCAAACCACCCUUUCACAGGGGUUACCUAAGACCAUCAGAAAACAGAUUUACAGUUCAUAACAGUAACAAAUUAUAGUUAUGAAGUAGCAACAGAAAAUGAUUAGAAGAUUGAGAACUGAAGUGGAAAUUUCUGGUUUCUUUGGAAACUAAAGAGAACACCUAAUAUUAACCUAGGGCUUGCACAUACAUGUGCAUCCACACAUACCUGUUCAUGUUCUCUCUGUUACUGUAUCUUUGUCUCUGUCACUGUUUCUCUCUCUCCUUUCCUGUUCUCUCCCUCCCCUCUAUUUCCUCUACCGUCUCCCCUUCUCCCUCUCUCUGUUACUACUCACCAAGGAUGAGUAGUUUCACAUGUUUUUCUGGAAGCUGUCUUGUGAGAGGAUGUUUUGCUGAAGCAGAUAAGUGAGAAGGCAUUGAUAUUUAGAAAGAAUAUAAAUUGAAACCCACAAACAAAGUUUGCUCUUGCAUUGUGAUACCAUGCAACACUUCACUACGGUUCACUGGGCUUCACUUCACAGAGGGAAACACACCAAAGAACUUCUCAUGGUAUUCCAGCUGAUUCUGGUUCCUUCCACUGAUUCAUGCCAAAGCAGUGGUGGUUUCUGGUGGAUCCUGCCACUGCUACCAACUCAUGUUUUGUGUUUGCUAUUGAACUGAACUGCUGAUAUCCUGACAAUGAAGCAGGGAAUCACCCCAAAGAACAACUUCUAAACAGGUCCACAACUCCCUUUUCCUAUAAGCCUUCUUUUUCCCCUACCUGUGGUCAGUGGGCUAGAAGGGAGUUUGAAUCAUUCAAGAACCUUAAAUAAAGGAGGUUUAGAAAACUCUAAGCCUCCAGAGAACCACUGCCAUAAGAGCAGACCACUUAAGGGUGACUACGAAGACUCCAAGUAGUUACAAAAAGAAAAGGCCACAAGGCAGAUAUAAAGACCCAGUCUCUGGAUAAAGCCUAAGCAACCAGCAAUAACCACUCAUUGUGGCAUAAAAAAGAAUCAGCUGAGGCCACGGAGGUAGAGCUCAACAUACCACAUGUCCAUUCUUCCUCCACACAAGAUUUGUGGGUUGCAGUGAGCAGAGACACCCAAACCAAACAAAGCACACUUAACUGCUGAGACCUGGUGAUCUCUGGAGAAAGAAUACAGCAUGCAUCUGAGCCUCCUGCAAGUAAUUAGAAAAAAGGUAAAGAAAGGACAUGUGUCCCUAAGUACCUGUACAGGAGAACUAUAAAAGGUAUUUUACUAUUUUGGUUUUCCUUCCUUUUCCCUUCCUUCCUUCCUACCUUCCCACCUUCCUUCUUCCCAGAUAGGAUCUCUUGAAGCCCAGACUGGCCUUGAAUGUUGAUCUGCCUACCUGCACUUCUCAAGUUCUGGGAUUAUAGACAUAAACCACCAUGUAGUUUAUGUGCAUGUUUAUAGUCACAUAUAAAACCAUGUGCAGCAUUUAUAAUCAUACCCAGGGCUUCAUGAACACUAAAUAAGUGCUCUACCUGCUGAGUCAUAUCCUCAACCCACCUAUUUAAGUUUUCAUUGAGCUACCAUCUUUAAAUAGGUUGACACUGAAACCUAUUUCUGUGUGUUUAGUAUUCAUUUCAGGGCAAACUGGUCCCCAGAUCCAUUUUCUUGUCUUAGCCCUUGGUAAUGAUCCUGAUGUCCAGCCGCAGGGAAUCAAGGCUCCGGUCACCUGCUGGGUCACUGGGGUUUUAAGCCUGAACUCAACCAGGAAGCAGGCUGCCUAUCACAGCUCACUACCCCAGAUGCUACCUUCAUACUUCAAGCAAGUUAUUUCACAUGUCUGGACCUAUGCUUACUAUAAAUUUUUUCGAGACAGGGUUUCUCUGUAUAGCCCUGGCUGUCCUGGAGCUCACUCUGUAGACCAAGCUGGCUUCGAACUCAGAAAUCUGCCUGCCUCUGCCUCCCAGAGUGCUGGGAUUACAGGUGUGUACCACCACCGCCCGGCUAUAACUUUCUGUUAUCAGCCCGAGACCCCCAUCACAGGUAAGUCCUGUCUUUAAAGGAGAAGCCUUCUGAUUAGGGCUUGUCAUGGGCAGUGAGCCAUGGGUGUCAUGAGUAGUUUCAAACACAGGGAUGGAACAAAAUUAUUGCUUCUUCCCCCUACCGCUUUCUUUCAUUAGGUCUUCUAGUAGAAAGAGAAUGAAUUGGGUCAUUGCAUUUAACUUCUAGGAGGUGGUCCUUAAAGUGGUGAAGACUUCUCUCUUUCUAAUGGUUAGAAGGUAAAUGUGAUGGCUGGAACUGCAGCAUCUUAGACUGUAACAUAGAUUGAUGAGAGCCAGGUCAAGAAGCAGGAGUCCUAUGUCAAUGGUGGAAUUAAUUACCUUUCUAGUCCUGAGAUGCUGUCUGGGUCUCUGGGUCUCUGUUUCAUUUACACAACUUUCUUUUCAGGUUUUCUGCCUCUCACAGCCAAAUGUCACCAUGAAAGUCUGAUUGUGAGCCUGAAGACUCUUUCCUGGAAAAAAAAAUUCCUUGAGAUUACUUAUUUAAUUAUUAUUAAAGA